CCUGCUUGCAGCAUCACCGAACUCCACCUGGAGCGGCUUCUCAGGGCAUCAGGUCUUCACCAAAGUAGGAGAAGCCUUUGAAUUCCUCCUGGUUGAUCUGCUUCACAAUCGCUUCAUCCACGAGCGGCCCCCCGCAGGGAGUGGGCAUCGCGCUGACCAGCCUCUCGCCAAAGCAGACCUCUAGCUACUGAGAGCAGACAUCGAGCUGUUCCAAUGAGGUAACGAUGAAUGGCCCCAGGACCGGGAGGUGAUGGAGGACUUGGAGAGGAAGAAUGAGUCCAGGAAGUGAACUUGAAUCUCCCUCCCACAAGGUCUCCAGUGGUCUUUCUUCCAUAAAGGUAAACCCCCCAUUACCUUGCCAUGUCUGCUCCAGAUGUCAUCUUCUCUAUAAGUAGGAGGAUGCAUGGGAUGGGGGUGGGACCGUCUUCUGGGAAGCCUCCCUUGAUCCUCACCCGCUAUUCUGUGUUCCCACGUUAUUUCUAUUAUUAUACUCAAGACACUGACUUGCAGUGAAUUGUUAAUGCUUUUGUCCUGAC